GCCCACUUGUCUUGGCUAAAAGUGAGAUCAAAAUCUUACAUACAUUUCAAGAAAUUUCAAGGAAAUGCAGAAACAAUCAUCAUGCAAAUAAUUGUGCCAAAUUUCCAGUUAAGUGAAAGAUGGUUGGUUGAGUUGGUAAGGAUCGUUUUUUUUUCACUAGAUCAAAGUCUAGGUUCAAGUCUACCUAUUGACAAUCCUUCUUGAUGGGCAAUGUAAAAACCAAAAGAAGGGCUAAGAUCUCCAAGUCCUCAAGGAAACUUGUGAAAUGCUUGAACUCUGGAAUGGGGUAGCCUCCCCUCCACCUAAACUUUUUAGGAUCAAAAGAACAUGGAGCAAGAACAAAAAAUUUCUUUAGUUGGACUAGCCAAUUAAUUGAAAAAAGAUUAAUCGUGGAGACGUUGGAAAAUGACGAAUCAAAACAUUUCCGUCCUCUCAAACAUGAGGAAGAUAAGCAGACAAAAGCCGAGCAAGGAGGCAGCUUCGUGUGAAGAACGUGACGACUGAUGGGAAAGAUGUCGCCACUCAAACCCAACAAGGCUUGGUUAAAUUUGUUUCCUUUUGAUAUAAACUUUUGGUUGCAACGUGGGUUUUUUUUUUUUUUUUUUUUUUUCACAAAGUGAAAAGAUUGAUGCUUUCAUAGCCAAAUGCAUAAGCGCUCUCUACCCAUCUCAGCUGAGGUGGGAAUUUACUUUGCCAUAUCAGUUUUAAGUCAAAGGGGUUCAUCACAGUCUCACUUUGAAGAUUUCAUUGCCCCGUCGUUGAAAUUUCAAUAUAGGAGACCAAUCAUAGGUCGUUUGAAAAUGCUUCUCUGGAAAGCACUUCAGCUCAAAAGUGUUUUCUCAGAAGCAAGUUGAAAUUCUCUCUUCCAUGUAUUUUGCUAACCGAGAAGCAUUUCAACUUUUUCUAUGUUGUUAAAGCACUUUCAAUAUUCAUUCAUUUAUAUAAACUUCAUGAAGUUGUUAAUUGACGAGAAACUAUGAAAUUGUUACAUUUGGUCAACUGUUUCAGGUAGUUUGGCUACAAAUGCUCCAGAUUCUUCGUCCAUUGCAUUGAAUAUCAAAUACCAUGCCGAAUUCACACCCUCUUUCUCUAUCGGAUCGUUCGCGCUUCGUAAGGAUGCUACGCCACUGCUUAAAGUGUUCGUGAUAUGCUCAUUGUUACUAAGAAAAUUACCUAUGAGUACUAUGACAGACUGAACGUAAGCAGGCAUAUUAUCUCUCAAUGGAGUUUCUACAGGUUUGCCAUAAUCAUCUGUCUCCUUAUCCUGACGCCGAAAAUCACCUCUAUUUUCGGCGAACCACGCACUUUAUGAGGUAGAGCUCUCUUAUGAAGAACUAACAUGUCAUAAAGCAGGCAUAUUAGCUCUUCAUGAGGUAGAUGGUGUUUCUCC